rnacentral:lncRNA from 1 species
UCACAGGAAAGUGAUUGGGUCAGAGCAAUUUGGCCAAAUCAAACAGAGGAAGCAGAGAAAUCAAGCUGAGGCAGAAAAACCUGGAAGUGAAUUCUUAGAAGUGAUUUGGCAAGCGAUCUGCCCAAAUCACCCGCCCAAAUCACUUUGACACAGAAAAACAGCAGAAGCGGGAAAAAGUGCAACAAACCAAAAUUCAAAUUUGAAGAAGUCCAAAUCCACUUCAAAUACUGCCAUCACAGUUCUAAGAGCCACAAGAAAGUCUCUCACCUAAGGAAUUCCAUUUAUAAUUAAAUACAAGAUCUAAAGAUGAAUCAAAGACCACAAAAGAUCAAGCCAAAAUAGUAUUUCAAAACCCUAAAUGGAUGGG